GUUUGUACUGGUUCCUGUAUGAUCACCAAAGUUAAGCAACAUAAAGCCUGGUCAGUACCAAUAUGGGGAACCACUUGGGAAUACUAGAUGCUGUAAG